rnacentral:rRNA from 1 species
UACGUAGGGUGCAAGCGUUGUCCGGAAUUAUUGGGCGUAAAGAGCUCGUAGGCGGUCUGUCGCGUCGGCUGUGAAAACCCGAGGCUCAACCUCGGGCCUGCAGUCGAUACGGGCAAACUAGAGUACUGCAGGGGAGACUGGAAUUCCUGGUGUAGCGGUGAAAUGCGCAGAUAUCAGGAGGAACACCAAUGGCGAAGGCAGCACUCUGGGACGUGACUGACGCUGAGACGCGAAAGCGUGGGGAGCAAACAGG